CUGGGAGAAACCCACAGUCAUCCACUUUACAAGAGAGGGCGAUCCAGGGUAAACAAACUGAUCAAAAUGGUGAAAGUGGCGUUACUUGUGCAGAGACUGAAAAUGUAAUUCUGGAAAAACAGUGUGACAUGAUAAAUCAAAACAGAGAAGUGGCUAAAGAGAAGUGCAUCAACGAAACGUAAAAAUUAUAUUCUGAAGGAGGACGCCAAAGGAAUUAAUAUCUACGUUGUUUUAUUCCCAAAGUUGUCUGACCACACCAAUCACAUCACUUCUGGAGAGGUAGCAAAUUUGCGUGAGAAAAUUGAUCCUAGAGUUCGAAAUAAAAUUCUAGAAUUUUACCGCACUGGUAUCCGGAAAAAAAGUGAGCUGAAAAGAUUGGUGGAACACUUUGUUAAGAAAGAUUUAUUUCUGAAUGUUGAGGUUCCAGAACACACUAGACGGAGAUAUUAUCCCACUUUUUUUCUCUUUGGUGUUGGGGGGCUGAAAAUAGACAACCAAAUUUUAUUAUUGGUCUCUCAGAACGUCAACAAUUUACAUUAAGGUGCAGUGUUCUCAGAUAUACAGACACCCUGCAGUUAUAUCUAUGCACACACAGGACAAAUGGUAUUUAUUGAAAUUUUUUUAAAUAAACCAUAUA